GUGGGUGAGUAAUGUCUGGGAAACUGCCUGAUGGAGGGGGAUAACUACUGGAAACGGUAGCUAAUACCGCAUAAUGUCGCAAGACCAAAGUGGGGGACCUUCGGGCCUCAUGCCAUCAGAUGUGCCCAGAUGGGAUAAAGCUAGUAGGUGGGGUAACGGCUCACCUAGGCGACGAUCCGGUAGCUGGUCUGAGAGGAUGACCAGCCACACUGGAACUGAGACACGGUCCAGACUCCUACGAGGCAGCAGUGGGGAAUAUUGCACAAUGGGCGCAAGCCUGAUGCAGCCAUGCCGCGUGUGUGAAGAAGGCCUUCGGGUUGUAAGGAGCACUUUCAGCGGGGAGGAACGGUAAGGUUAAUAACCUCAUCGAGUUGACGUUACCCGCAGAAGAAUAGCACCGGCUAACUCCGUGCCAGCAGCCGCGUAAUACGGAGGGUGCAAGCGUUAAUCGGAAUUACUGGGCGUAAAGCGCACGCAGGCGGUCUGUCAAGUCGGAUGUGAAAUCCCCG
rnacentral:rRNA from 1 species